rnacentral:rRNA from 1 species
GACGAACGCUGGCGGCGUGCUUAACACAUGCAAGUCGAACGGAAAGGCCCUGCUUUUGUGGGGUGCUCGAGUGGCGAACGGGUGAGUAACACGUGAGUAACCUGCCCUUGACUUUGGGAUAACUUCAGGAAACUGGGGCUAAUACCGGAUAGGAGCUCCUGCUGCAUGGUGGGGGUUGGAAAGUUUCGGCGGUUGGGGAUGGACUCGCGGCUUAUCAGCUUGUUGGUGGGGUAGUGGCUUACCAAGGCUUUGACGGGUAGCCGGCCUGAGAGGGUGACCGGCCACAGUGGGACUGAGAUACGGCCCAGACUCCUACGGGAGGCAGCAGUGGGGAAUAGUGCAAAUGGGAGGAAGCCUGAUGCAGCAACGCCGCGUGCGGGAUGACGGCCUUCGGGUUGUAAGCCGCUUUCGCCUGUGACGAAGCGUGAGUGACGGUAAUGGGUAAAGAAGCACCGGCUAACUACGUG